rnacentral:rRNA from 1 species
UUAAUUGAAGAGUUUGAUCAUGGCUCAGAUUGAACGCUGGCGGCAGGCCUAACACAUGCAAGUCGAGCGGUAGCACAGGAGAGCUUGCUCUCUGGGUGACGAGCGGCGGACGGGUGAGUAAUGUCUGGGAAACUGCCUGAUGGAGGGGGAUAACUACUGGAAACGGUAGCUAAUACCGCAUGACGUCUUCGGACCAAAGUGGGGGACCUUCGGGCCUCACGCCAUCAGAUGUGCCCAGAUGGGAUUAGCUAGUAGGUGGGGUAAUGGCUCACCUAGGCGACGAUCUCUAGCUGGUCUGAGAGGAUGACCAGCCACACUGGAACUGAGACACGGUCCAGACUCCUACGGGAGGCAGCAGUGGGGAAUAUUGCACAAUGGGCGCAAGCCUGAUGCAGCCAUGCCGCGUGUAUGAAGAAGGCCUUCGGGUUGUAAAGUACUUUCAGCGAGGAGGAAGGCAU